rfam:Xanthomonas oryzae pv. oryzae KACC10331, complete genome.
GGCCGAGUAGCUCAGUUGGUAGAGCAGGGGAUUGAAAAUCCCCGUGUCGGCGGUUCGAUUCCGUCCUCGGCCA